rnacentral:lncRNA from 1 species
GACGAGAAAUAUGAUAGAACCUCUUGUUAUAUUUUUUGUUCUUUCCAGAUCGUGUCAACUGUUUUGCCGUCAUAGUGUCAUUAUUUGUUGUGUACUUCUUAUGAUGUGAUCUACUGUAUUCCUACAACCUGAGUUUUGAGAAAUAUAUGAGAACUUAUGUCCUACCAGUAGGUUACGCUAUAUGUAUGUGGUCCUGUAUUGUCGCCCUUCAUUCCCUCCCUUCACCAGUAAUUGUUGAAG